AAACCUUCUUUGCAGGAGGAAAUCUCAGGGUGCCAAGCUCCACUCGGGUAUUACAUUGCAGGCAUAAAGCCUCAUUCCUCCUUUCAACUUGAUCCAACUUCACACCACCACCAGUUUUCCAUCAUUACUGCUAGCAUCAGUGCCUACUUUCCCAUGUCACUUCUAGGCCAGGGGAGCCUUGAGCUUUCUCUCUGAAGUUCUCUGCUCACUGUUGAGGAAUUUGCAGCAGGAAUGAAACGUUGAUGUUUGAAGAAAAUUAUAGUGACAAUCAUUUGGAGGAUGGAUUGAAAAGGAUGAGUCUGGUGGCCAGAAGACCAGUUGGAAGACUAUUACAGCCUUAGAAGUGAGAGCCAACAGGAGACACAAAGAGUAAACACUGCUCUGGCUUCUGAUUUCAUGACAGAUUGGCACAAAAUACAUAAUAGCAGAGUUCAAAUUAAUAUCGUUGACUUCAAAGCAGUCAUCUUAGGAGACUGUAGAUAGUGAUGGUCCAAUUAUUCAUUCAUUGAAACACAGUGCUUAUCUCUCACUAACAGAACGUGAAUUCCAUGAAAGGAGCGAUUUUUGUCUGUUGCUGUAUUCCCAACACUGGAAAAAUAUCCAACACAUAAAAGGGCGCUGUGAAGGAUGCAAAAUAAAUGUAAGGCUAUUCCAUGUUCUCAGGAGCUUAAAGAUCUGCUUGGAAGGAAAGAACCCAUAUAUGAAGUACAAAAAAGAUCAGAAGAGUGAUGCUGUACAGAAUACCUUCUCAGAGAAAGGAAAGUGACUUAUAUUGGAGUUUCUGGAAAAACCCCGUGGAGGAGAUAGUUACAGGGCCUGCACAUUACAGAAUGAACUGAAGGCGGACACAUGUAGGAAGGACUUGUGGAGAAAGGGCCAGAGGUAACAUAUGGUUCAAGUUGUGAGUGAGAAUAAACCACCAUGAGCUCCUGCCUUUCUCCCACCACGAGCUGCCCCUCUUCCCUGUCCCUUAUCCUCUUCUCAUCUUCUGAAUAUUGUAUGCCAGGCCACAGAGCUCUUCAUCUCCAUCUAUACUUGCUCCUCAAGUGAUUUCUCCCAGCCUCAUACUUUAAAUAACCUUCCAAAUGUAUAAUCCCUGUUCAGUACUCUUUGAAAUUUAGACUCAUGUACCAACAGCCUACUCAACCUUUGUACCAGAGUGUUAAAUGGGAAUUAAAAAAAAUUUUUUUUGAUUGUUUCUGCCCCAAACUACCCUUGUUGGCUCUAUCUCCAAAACAUAUACCAAAGAGGCUGACUUUUCUGCACCUUCACGGCCCCUGGCACCCCAAUUCAAUCUACCCCCCGACCUUUCGCUUACACUAGUACAAUAGCUUCCUCACUGGUCUUCCUGCUGCCAUUCUUGCCCCCAUACUCCGUUCUCCAUGUAGCACCCAUUUCAAACCAUGUAUCAGGUUUUUGGAAACUCUACUCAAUAUUUUGUAAUAACCUAUAAGGGAAAAGAAUCUGAAAAAGAAUCUGAAUCGCUGUGCUGUACACCUGAAACUAACAUGCCAGUUGUUAAUCAAUUAUACUUCUAAUAAAUAAAUAAAUAAAUAAAUAAAUUUUUAAAAUGGAGAAAAAAAGCCCUCACCAUGUAUCAGGUUCUGACACAUCCUCACUUAAAGUCUUUCAACAUCGCUCCUCUGAGACACAUUUGUGACAUAGUCCCUGCUUCAAUGCGUAUGUGCUUGCUGUUCCCUCUUACUUAGACUGUUCUUUCCCUCCCCCGACACUUGAGUGACUUUCUUCCCUAGCUUCACUUAGAAUCACUAUCCUUGACCCUUGUCUAAUAUGGCCUCCUUCCUUUCAUCACCUUAUACUCCCUUCCCUUUUAAAAAUCUCUUCCAAGCACAUGUCUAGGUCUAGGUCUAUUUAUUUGUUCAUAUUCUUAUAGUCUGUUUCCUAUUACUGGCACAGAAGCUCCAUGAGAUCAGGGAGUGUUCAUUGUUAUAUCCCUAGUGACUAGAACUAUGCCUGGCAUUGAAUAAAUAUUUGUUGAAUGAAUGAAUUACCAUCCUUAUGGCUAACCCCUCCUCAUGUAAAUAAGAUGAUGUCCUGAGUGAUGUGAUCAAAACCUGAAGUGCGGGGUCAAUACAGAGAAACAAGUCAAAGACAGGGCAAUCCUAGCAGGACAAAUGCAGGAUACAGAGCCAAGAUGGGAACUGGGAAAAUGAGGAUGAAAGGCCUGUCAGGCAAUCUAGCACAUCCUGCCAGGCAGAGUAUCUUGGACUCUUGUGGACCCUAGUGGACUUUAGAGCCAAUGGAAUAUACCAAGCAAGUUUUCCAGGUGCCACUCAGGAGCUGCCAUGGGAAGCCUCUUUCACGGUAAAGCCUGCUCCAGGAAUCAAAGAGGCAAAAUCUCCAACAGGAGUGGAGCCAUAGUCAUGCACUGAAUUUUUACAUGAAGAGAAAGUUGUCAGUACUGCUGCAGAGAGUAUAAUUGACUAAUAUUUGUUAU